GACUGACUCACCGCUACUGUGCGUGAUUCUGGUCUCUGCCGUUCCCGCAGCCGCCGUCUGCGUCCAGCCCCGGGGUUAGGACCUGACCGCACAAACGCCGGGAGGGGCGCCCCAGCGGCGGCCUGCGCUUGCGCUGGACCAGUCCAGGGUCCUCGACCACUCACCGUCCACCUUCCGAGAGCCUCCGCCCGCCUCGCCCGGCGCAAUCCGACCGCCUGCGCGCGGUCCCGGCGCGCCCCGCCAGGGUCACUGCUUCAAAAGGAGGCAGGUUCGGGUCGCUGUGAGUGAAUGGGAACCUCCUGACAGCGCAGGUCCGGCGAGUGAACCUCAGCACCCGGACGGCAGGUAACGGGAUUGAGAAGGAACCACGGCUAGGGCGCCGCCUUCUCCUUCGCCUUAAUUUUUAGAUGUUUUGGGCUGAGGAAGAAGGCCAUGUGUACAAUUCAUUGCUUCUGUGGGGGCAGGGGGGAGGACGAGUGUUUAUCUUGCCUCAUCAAGGUUAGUUUUGUUUUGAUUUGUGUUUUAUCAGCUGCAUCUUUCUCUCUUUUGGUUGAAAUCAUGUUUCCUUCCUUUGUUACUACCCAUUCUUCAAUUUCUUUAGAUAUUUUCGUACUAUUACACAGUUUAGGGUUACAUUUGUAUAAUUAUUCAGUUACUACUAUUUGAUAGAAAUGGAUUUUUCUCUCAAAUAGUAUCACCAAGCUAUCUUCAUCCCAUGAAUAAUUUGCUCCAUUGAUUCUGUUCCGAUGAUGCUGAUUCCUAAACUAAGUUCUGGGAUUGUGUUCGUCUUGAACAUUCCACAAUGCCCACUACUUUGGUACACACGGAGGACUUCCAGUGUAUUCUUGAUACUCAAUCCCUUUUUUAUGCAGUAUCCUCUUCUUAUUCCUCUUAUGACCAGAUCAAACCCCCACCACCCACCCAGCCAAGCAUGCGCUCAUAGACCUGCACUGCCAUCUCGACUAGCAACUCCAGUUUCUCUCCAUUAUAGUCUAGCAAAACUCUUCUCCUCUGAAUCUCCUAAAUCUCAUCCUCAUUGUAACUCAUCCUCAUUGUAACUCAUAAAUGUCAAAGCUUGGACAUCUGGCUUCAGCCUGCCUUUCGGACUCUGCAUGUCCAUCCUUUACAACCCACUCAAGUCUUCAUUCAUUUUUAUGUUCUUACCAAAAACAGAAUACUUAUGGAAAGAUGUCAUUUAAAACAAGCAUAUUAUGAAAAGUAGCAGAUAUAGAAAUACCAUCAAAUAUCUAGUCAGUAAAUUUCUACAUGUUUACUGCUCUGAAUAUUUUUGUUUAGUUUGUUUGACCCAUGAUCCAAAUAAGUUCCUCAAAUUGAAAUUGGUUAAUAUAUUUUCCCCCUCCAUAUGUUCCUACUUCAUCUCUGCCUCUGUACCACUUUUUACUGUUACUGGAGUAAAUUACAAGUUUUUAAGGCCCUUCUCCUAGACGAUGAAAUUAUGGACUCACCAGUGAUGUUCAGAUUUAAAGUUGUGGAAUUUGCUGCAUUUUUCAUCCCUUUAAAGCCUGGCAUUUGGGCUUGGAAUCAGGAAGUGAAAAAGAGCAUAAAUACAAGUCUCUUAAAUUGUGCUUUCGUUCAGGGGGAUCGUUGAUUUACUUUAUAUAACAAGUGCACUCUUAUGCAUUUAUAUACAAUGGAUUUGCUGAGAGAAAUUAGGUUAAAAUCUUCACAUUUUAGGGAAAGAGGAUGUUAACUUUCAGGCCAUUCUGUUACAUGCCUGCUUUCCCUUCUUAAGUCAGUUUUCCUCCUCCUCAAUGUUGUAAUAUAAAUAAUAUUAAUAAAUAAUAAUAUCAGAAUAAGCCCUAUGUUUUGCAUGCUCACUACUGUAAACCUAGUUUUGCCUACCGCUGUACACUGGAUUUUUUUGCUGAGUGGGGCUAGUCUCAGUCUGUAACAAAGUAGCACUUGUUCUUGGUCAGUGUCAUGCAGGUGCCUACAUUGUUGCUGCAGUGUGUACACUCACCAAAAGAACUUCUGGUUUUAGACAUGUAUAGAGGCAGAAAAUCAAUGUGCAAUAAUUUUUUUCACCUUCAGCUGACUUUUCACCAACAGAAGAAGUCUGGAUGGUUUCUCUUCUGCCUGUCAACUCCUUUCUCAGAAUCAGAGACUAUGGAUUAAAUGGGUCUUGGAUGCUUCAGUUUUCCUUUACAAAGGAUCUUCUAUUCCUAGUGAAGCUUUUCUUACAGCUUGAAUUCUCUUUAUUUUACUACAUGUAUCAGGUGAGUCCAUAUAUCUGGACUCACAAACGUAAGACACCUGUUAAGCGAACCCAAGUUCUGUGGAAAAUUUGGUGCUUGAACGAGGGAAACAGGGUAUGCUAUUCAUCAUUUAUUUUAAGAAGAGUACUCAUGACUGGGAAGAAACCUAAUAAUCUAUUUAUGCUUCUAAUUAGCUUUCAAUCCAAUACCAAAAAAUAAAAAUUAGUAACUUACUGAGCUUGGCAGUAAUAACUUGGAAAAAAUUUGUUUCAUAUGUAAAUGUUGCUAAAGGAUUUUGCACAUUAAAGGUAAAUAAACAUGUUUUUCUCCUUUUUGCCUGAUACAUUACAUAGAGAAGCAUCUUGGGCGAUUAUCCCUGUGGAGAUUCCUGAAAAGAGUACACUGAAGGUUUGCAGCUCUGUGUUCUGCCAGCAGCUCCUCCAGCAGUGUUUUGUCUUAAGGGUAUAGCAGUGCUUCUGCCCUGUCUUCAAGUAGUAAAAAGGUUGCAAUG